rnacentral:rRNA from 1 species
GACGAACCGUGCGAACGUUGUUCGGAUUCACUGGGCUUAAAGGGCGCGUAGGCGGAUGGUCAAGUCGGGGGUGAAAUCUUUCAGCUUAACUGGAAAAGUGCCUCCGAUACUGAUCGUCUCGAGGGAGGUAGGGGCAUGUGGAACUUCCGGUGGAGCGGUGAAAUGCGUAGAUAUCGGAAGGAACGCCGGUGGCGAAAGCGACGUGCUGGACCUCUUCUGACGCUGAGGCGCGAAAGCUAGGGGAGCAAACGGG